UCUCUGGUAGUAUAUCGGUUAGUACACGCGCCUGUCAUUUAAUGGCGCGCGAAAGCUGGGUUCGACUCCCAGCCAGAGAG
rnacentral:tRNA from 1 species